AUGAACGCUGGCGGCGUGCCUAAUACCUGCAAGUCGAGCGAACGGACGAGAAGCUUGCUUCUCUGAUGUUAGCGGCGGACGGGUGAGUAACACGUGGAUAACCUACCUAUAAGACUGGGAUAACUUCGGGAAACCGGAGCUAAUACCGGAUAAUAUUUUGAACCGCAUGGUUCAAAAGUGAAAGACGGUCUUGCUGUCACUUAUAGAUGGAUCCGCGCUGCAUUAGCUAGUUGGUAAGGUAACGGCUUACCAAGGCAACGAUGCAUAGCCGACCUGAGAGGUGGGCGGGCCACGUGGGACAUGAGGCACGGCCAACACGCCAGCGGGGGGCACAAGAAGGGAUUCUUCGACAAGGGGCGAAGGCUGGAAGGACAAACCUAGCGGGAGGAAUGAAGGCUUUCGGUUCUUAAAACUCUUUUUUUAGGGAAGAAAAUAUGUGAAAGUACUGAUGCAACUCUGAACGUGACCUAAUAAGAAGGCCCCGGCUAAGUACGUG
rnacentral:rRNA from 1 species